rnacentral:rRNA from 1 species
AGUCUGAUGGAGCACGCCGCGUGAGUGAAGAAGGUUUUCGGAUCGUAAAGCUCUGUUAUUGGUGAAGAAAGAUAGAGGUAGUAACUGGCCUUUAUUUGACGGUAAUCAACCAGAAAGUCACGGCUAACUACGUGCCAGCAGCCGCGGUAAUACGUAGGUGGCAAGCGUUGUCCGGAUUUAUUGGGCGUAAAGCGAGUGCAGGCGGUUCAAUAAGUCUAAUGUGAAAGCCUUCGGCUUAACCGGAGAAUUGCAUCGGAAACUGUUGAACUUGAGUGCAGAAGAAGAGAGUGUAACUCCAUG